rnacentral:misc_RNA from 1 species
AAGUCGUAACAAGGUAACCGUAGGUGAACCCGCGGUUGGAUCAUUAUUAAUGAUUGACUAGUGGGUUUGAGGAUCGUUUGAUUCUCGCCCGCUGGCAACAACCACUGUGCACAAUAAUAGUAUUUGGGUGAGGAUGGUAAAGUUUCGUGCUUCUCUAUGAUACACCCGCCAAUAUAAACCUUCUAUUUCAUUUGUCUGAUCUUUGUUUCUAAAUGAAUCAAAUACAA